rnacentral:rRNA from 1 species
AACGAACGCUGGCGGCAGGCUUAACACAUGCAAGUCGAACGCCCCGCAAGGGGAGUGGCAGACGGGUGAGUAACACGUGGGAACCUUCCUAGAGGUACGGAACAACUCAGGGAAACUUGAGCUAAUACCGUAUACGCUCUUGCGAGGAAAGAUUUAUCGCCUUUAGACGGGCCCGCGUCGGAUUAGCUAGUUGGUGGGGUAACGGCCUACCAAGGCGACGAUCCGUAGCUGAUCUGAGAGGAUGAUCAGCCACACUGGGACUGAGACACGGCCCAGACUCCUACGGGAGGCAGCAGUGGGGAAUCUUGGACAAUGGGCGCAAGCCUGAUCCAGCCAUGCCGCGUGAGUGAAGAAGGCCUUCGGGUUGUAAAGCUCUUUUACCAGGGACGAUAAUGACGGUACCUGGAGAAUAAGCCCCGGCAAACUUCGUGCCAGCCGCCGCCGUAA